ensembl:snoRNA SNORA70 Small nucleolar RNA SNORA70
UUGUCACCAAUUAAAGUGACCAUCAUCUCUCCUUGGUGGGGCUUGGUGUGCAAUGGCUGCAACCAGGAAGCAGCCUCUUUGGUAGUGUCCCCAACCUGUGGCUUCUAUGGACUGUUCGCAGGGACCUUGAAGACAGUC